GAUUGAAAGCAUUGGAGCGACCUUACCACUUUAAGUUAUCUUUGGGUGGAUCGCUUUCUAUCUCCUAGGUUUCCAUUCCCUUGUGGGAGUAGGUCAUCGGCGGGCUUGCAGAGUUUGGUGGGCCAAGGGUCUCCCACUUCUCUCAUCAUCGAAGGGCUCUUACGCUCUUUCGACCCAUGGCGAGCGUGUGCGAGUGGUUGGCUUGGGGCUGUGGAUUGGUGUGGGUACAAGUUAGGAAGAGUGUGUGUGUGUCUGUGUGUGGUGGAAAUCAAAGACGAGAGGGUGGUGAAUCGAGACUGGAUCUGGAAACAUGGGGAGGUGAAAUGGAGUUGAACUGCAAACGUCAAGUUUGGAAGGGUUGUUUAGAUCGUAUUAGGCGUUGCAAUGAGAGACCUUGGAGGUUUCUUGAAUGUAAUAGAAGGGAAGACGAUCUUUGAUGGAUGCCACCAGAUGUAGUAUGGGCAAAAUCCGUAUUGAGGCUCUGGAACUCUGGAAUUACGGGAGAAGUAAGGGUUUGGAAGAUUGGGUUUCGGGCACGGUGGUUCGAUUUCUGGUCUGCCAUGAUGUUUCUGAGCAUGACGUAGAUGAUUGACGAAUGGCAAGGGAAGAGACAAAGGUCAAUUGAAAUGGUCGAUGUGGGAAUUUCCGUACAGGGAUGAAUGGUUCAAUUCUCUCAAAGUCACAAUCUGAUUUCUCUGUGGAUAUAGAGUAUGGGUGUUUUCUACUGGUGCUGGCUGUGUUCAAUGCCUACUUUUGAUUAUGAAGGGAUUUGCUUGCCUCCAGUGGAUUUUUCUAAUCUUGGCAGAGCUCUUGGCUCUUAUUGCCCUGAGUGGAUUUCAAGACUUCAUAACGCAACCGCUGAAUGCGGUACUCUGGCUGCCUGUAGGGAGAAGUGCUCAAAAGAAUGUGUGUUUCCACCCAUUCUUCCGUGGUUACAAUAUUGGCUGAUGACUUAUCAAAGACUAGGAAUCGCUGUUCUUGGUUUUUUCCCUUUGUUUUGGUUCUUUUUUUUUUUUUUCCCCUGCUAGUUUGGUUUGGUUUUGUUUCCCUUUGUUUUGGUUCUGUUUAUACUGGAUAGUAUUUCAUGCAGUCUUCUUAUGUUGACUCUUA